UGUCAAUUUGCCUCUGUCCUGGAGAUAAUUGAAUUACUUCUCAAUUAUCUCCAGGGAAGAGGGGAGGAAUUACUAUUGCAUGCUGGGAAUAUUUUGUGUCUGUGGGUCCUGAACUGCCAUAUGUCUAUCUGUUGUCACAGUCUCCCAUUUGGUCCCCUAGGGGAGUGUCCACCAAGUGGGAGACCUGCAGAAAUACAGGCAGGUAGCCCACAGUAAAGCCAGUUCUUGUUUUACCCCCAAUGCGGAGCUUGGUCUCGUUAUUGGGGGGGAUUUAUUACUGUUUGUGAGGGUGUUGUGUUUUUUUUAAAGGUGCUGAGUGUGUUUGUGAGGGUGCGGUUAGUGUACUGUGUGUGUGUGAGCUGUAUGUGUGUAGGUGCUGUAUGUGUGUGUGCUGUAUGUUUGGAGG